rnacentral:lncRNA from 1 species
AGGUUUGAGGGACACUUAUGCCCAUACGCUUCACAAGCAGCUCUUGACAGUAGAGUGCUCAGCAGGUGAGUCACUUGUUCAGUAAUGAUGUACUCUUAUAUCUCACGUAUAUGCCAUACUAAUGUCAUUAUAGAAUGAUGGCGUUUAUCGAGUGGAGGUUAUUGUGUGCCAUAUCUGUUGGUUGUCCUCUUAAUUAAGGAGUGUCACCAUAGUUCUAAGG